UACGUAGGGUGCAAGCGUUGUCCGGAAUUAUUGGGCGUAAAGAGCUCGUAGGCGGUCUGUCGCGUCGGCUGUGAAAACUCGGGGCUCAACUCCGAGCUUGCAGUCGAUACGGGCAGGCUAGAGUUCGGCAGGGGAGACUGGAAUUCCUGGUGUAGCGGUGAAAUGCGCAGAUAUCAGGAGGAACACCGGUGGCGAAGGCGGGUCUCUGGGCCGAUACUGACGCUGAGGAGCGAAAGCAUGGGUAGCGAACAGG
rnacentral:rRNA from 1 species